GAUCACCUAAGAUCAAGAUCAAGAUUACCCUCCUGAUCCGCCGCCAUUACAUGAGGACAGUAACAGCUGACGGUCUUUAAAGCUUUCUUCUUCGCAUAUCUGGGAAGGACGCUAACAGCUGGUCCUGAAAGCUUCCUUGACUCGCUAAGGAAAGUAACUUAACAACUAUUACUACUAAUAUAUGAAGUAUUGAAGUCACUGUGGGCCCUUAGCUAAACAAGUUUCGGUGGUAGAAUAUUAAUAAUAGUAAUAUGAGAGGUAGUGAGAUGUGAGCCCCCCUGUGUGUACAUACGUAUCUUAAAUGAAUGUUCACAGCCAUGUCCUCACUGAUACACUAUAUUUUACAGUGUUAUUGUGUAUUGUAAGCUUUCUUGGCCUGUAAAGCUUAGUGUGGGAGUAGCUGGUGGUCCUGUAUCUGCAACCACUACCAAGGGGCCUCAGUUUUCCCCAGACUGGAGGAAAAUGGUGCGUGUGUAGCAGUGAGGUGGGUAAGCAGGUGGAGAGCAGGUGAGGUAGAGCAGGUAGCAGGUAGGUGGCGCCUCACAGGAUCACUGAAGGAUUAAAACAUUUGGAAGUGAAUUUCAGUGAGAAGCUUCAUCCUAAGAUAAUGAAAUGUAUUGUUUAGAAAGACAAGAGUAAAGAAAAUAUGCUGGAAUGUUUGCUUGCUAAAAAUGUUUAUCUUCAAAGUGUAGACAGCUACUACUUGUAUGAUAGUUAGCUUGUAUGAUAGGUUAAGUCAGUGUUUGAUAAGCCUGCCAAUGGUAACACUGUACACAACAUAUUAGGUUAGGUUAGGUUAGGUUAGGAAACUUGAGAUGAAGUUACAGAGAGAAGGAUAGAAGCUGUAGGAGGGUAGUCUGGAAAUGAAAGCUUUGUGCCAGACUAUGAAAAGCUUUUGAUAUGUCCAAGGCAACAGCAAAAGUUUCACCAAAAUCUCUAAAAGAAGAUGACCAAGACUCAGUAAGGAAAGCCAGAAGAUCACCAGUAGAGCGGCCUUGACGGAACCCAUACUGGCGAUCAGAUAGAAGGUUGUCAAGUGAUACAUGUUUAACAAUCUUCCUGUUGAGGAUAGAUUCAAAAACUUUAGAUAGGCAGGAAAUUAAAGCAAUAGGACGGUAGUUUGAGGGAUUAGAACGGUCACCCUUUUGUUGUUGUUGUUGUUGGUAGUGAUGGUGGUUGUGGUGAUAACCGUAGUAGUGGUAGUAGUAGUAGUAGUAGUGGUAGUAGUAGUAUUGUGCAACUACUACUACUACUACUACUACUACUACUACUACUGUUAUUAUUAUUAUUAUUAUUAUUCCUACCACUACUACUACUACCACUACUAUAUUUUUCUGUUCCUACUACUACUACUACUACUACUACUACUACUACUACUACUACUACUACUACUACUACUACUUAUUGCAGGGGUGUCUUGUGAAAUGACCCAGGAAAUGAAGAAUGGCUGGAGUGUGCCUGUGAAGAAGACACUGAAUUACAAAACAGUCAUAGAGGUUUUCUGUUUCCCGCCCUUCAAGUUGCUACUACUACUACUACUACUACUACUACUACUACUACUAUUAAUAAUGAGGAGCCUCGCUGUGUGGUUGCUGGGGGAUUUGAGACGAGUGUGUCAAGAAAACGGAGAACGGAGCGGUGAGGAGCCUCGCUGUGUGGGUAAGUUAGGAACGGCCUGAGUUACCAAUGAUGUGGGUAGGUCUGGGAAUGGGCAGUUAUGAGUGAUAUGGGUAAUUCUAGGAAUGGGGUCAGUUAGGAGUGGUUUAAUUAGGGGGUGAUGUGAAUUAGGAAUGGUGUGGAUGAAUUAGGAAUUAAAUGAGUUAGGAAUGGGGUGAGUUAGGAAUAGUAAGUGUGAGUUUAGGAAUGGGUGAACUUUAAGGGGUAUGGGCAAGUUAGGAAUGAUAGGGAUUGCUAAGUUAGGAAU